rnacentral:rRNA from 1 species
UGGCAAGCGUUAUCCGGAUUUAUUGGGCGUAAAGGGAACGCAGGCGGUCUUUUAAGUCUGAUGUGAAAGCCUUCGGCUUAACCGAGGCAUUGCAUCGGAAACUGUGUUUCUUGAGUGCAGAAGAGGAGAGUGGAACUCCAUGUGUAGCGGUGAAAUGCGUAGAUAUAUGGAAGAACACCAGUGGCGAAAGCGGCUCUCUGGUCUGUAACUGACGCUGAGGUUCGAAAGCGUGGGUAGCAAACA